rnacentral:rRNA from 1 species
UUAUUUUCAGGAAGCUUUCGGGUGGAAUGAACUUAACUUAGCGGCGGACGGGUGAGUAACGCGUGGACAACCUACCCUGUACAGGGGGAUAACAAUGGGAAACCAUUGCUAAUACCCCAUAACACCUUUUAGGGGCAUCCCUUUAAGGUCAAAGAAUUUCGGUACAGGAUGGGUCCGCGUCUGAUUAGCUAGUUGGUGAGGUAAUGGCUCACCAAGGCGACGAUCAGUAGCCGGCCUGAGAGGGUGAACGGCCACACUGGAACUGAGACACGGUCCAGACUCCUACGGGAGGCAGCAGUGGGGAAUAUUGCACAAUGGGCGAAAGCCUGAUGCAGCAACGCCGCGUGAGCGGUGAAGGCUUUCGGGUCGUAAAGCUCUGUCCUAAGGGAAGAUAAUGACGGUACCUUAGGAGGAAGCCCCGGCUAACUACGUGCCAGCAGCCGCGGUAAUACGUAGGGGGCAAGCGUUAUCCGGAAUCAUUGGGCGUAAAGGGUGCGUAGGCGGCCCUAUAGGUCAGAGGUCAAAGGCUACGGCUCAACCGUAGUAAGCCUUUGAAACUGUAGGGCUUGAGUGCAGGAGAGGAGAGUGGAAUUCCUAGUGUAGCGGUGAAAUGCGUAGAUAUUAGGAGGAACACCAGUGGCGAAGGCGACUCUCUGGACUGCAACUGACGCUGAGGCACGAAAGCGUGGGGAGCGAACAGGAUUAGAUACCCUGGUAGUCCACGCCGUAAACGAUGAGUGCUAGGUGUCGGGGGUCGAACCUCGGUGCCGCAGCUAACGCAUUAAGCACUCCGCCUGGGGAGUACGUUCGCAAGAAUGAAACUCAAAGGAAUUGACGGGGACCCGCACAAGCAGCGGAGCAUGUGGUUUAAUUCGAAGCAACGCGAAGAACCUUACCUGGACUUGACAUCCCUCGGACCGCUUUUUAACCAAAGCCUUCCCUUCGGGGACUGAGGUGACAGGUGGUGCAUGGUUGUCGUCAGCUCG